GACGAACGCUGGCGGCGUGCUUAACACAUGCAAGUCGAACGCUGAAGCUCAGCUUUUGUUGGGUGGAUGAGUGGCGAACGGGUGAGUAACACGUGAGUAACCUGCCUCCUUCUUUGGGAUAACGCCCGGAAACGGGUGCUAAUACUGGAUAUUCACUGGUCUUCGCAUGGGGGUUGGUGGAAAGGGUUUUUCUGGUGGGGGAUGGGCUCGCGGCCAUCAGCUUGUUGGUGGGGUGAUGGCCUACCAAGGCUUUGACGGGUAGCCGGCCUGAGAGGGUGACCGGUCACAUUGGGACUGAGAUACGGCCCAGACUCCUACGGGAGGCAGCAGUGGGGAAUAUUGCACAAUGGGCGCAAGCCUGAUGCAGCGACGCCGCGUGAGGGAUGGAGGCCUUCGGGUUGUGAACCUCUUUCGCUCAUGGUCAAGCCGCAACAAUGGUUGUGGUGAGGGUAGUGGGUAAAGAAGCGCCGGCUAACUACGUG
rnacentral:rRNA from 1 species